UUAAAAAAGAAAUUACGACAACAUCCUUUAAAGAAUGCCACUAACAGCCUCUUGGCCUUCUACGGGAUACAGCAGCCAAUUUGCUGGUCUGUCUCUAUAGAAAUUGUUUCUCCACUGUGUGGAGAAAAUAAAAUCCAAGAUGGAGAUGGUUAUGUAAGAGGUAUCUAAAUGGGAUCUGCGGGGCAUAAGGAGUUGGAUCCCAGUCAUGUGCACACCCAGAUGAAAUCUGACUUGUUGAACUGGGCCAAAUUGUAACACCAACUGCAUUUGACUUGUACUGUUUAUACUGGGCCUGAUCACCAGCUUCCUGGAAAGACAGCUAGGCCAAACAAGACUGAAAGACAUCCUAAGCUGUUAACCAGCCAUCAUCAAUCAUGCACUAUAUGAAAACCUUCCAGGAUGUUACACAACUCAGAAUCAUCAAGAAGAAAAACCAAAACUGAACUUGGAGUAAGGGCAGACAUUGGCUGAGUAUCCU
rnacentral:lncRNA from 10 species